CCCGUUGGUCAAGUGGUUAAGACACCGCCCUUUCACGGCGGUAACACGGGUUCGAAUCCCGUACGGG
rnacentral:tRNA from 2 species